UUCAGUUCAUUACAUGUCAAGUAUUUAUUCCGGAAGUCAUUACAUGUUGUGUUAUUCUUCUAAGACAUAAUAUGCUCUUUUACAAAGCUUUGAUAAUUAUACAGUCAUAUAAAUGAUUUUAUGUUGCUGCCAGAGACAUUUUGUUCUUACCACAGUAGUUGUAAAAUGUUGCUGCCUGUUUAAAUUUAGCAAAAUCAAAACGAAUUACCUCUGGUCACAAGCUAAUUCUAACAAAAAAAAAGGACAAUUUGUGAAGUGAUUCUGAGUCGUUGGGAUGAAUCAUUAGCUGCAACUCUAUGUUCUACUCUAAUAUAACCAAUAUUUCCUUAAAAUAUACCACCUAAAAUAUACAUGUAGAGGACACUUCAUGUUGUAUGCGCCAAGAUUCAACUAUGGAGACAAGCAAUCAUUUAUUUGUUGAAUGUGAAUAUGCUACAAAAGUAAGAGAUACAAUAACUCAAUGGAUAAAAGUCAGUCUACCUACAAGAGGUUUUAAGGAAAUAGUAGAAAUAAUCAAGAUAAAACAUUGGAAGAGUUUGAAGAAGCAAGUGAUAGCAGCUAUGUGGGGAGGAAAGCAAAAAAUUGGAAACACUUCAAAGGAGUACAUAUGCAGUAUACAGAGAUAGUGAACACAAUUAAUAGAGAAAUGGGUGAAACAAUAUUAAUGUUCAAUAAUACAAAAAAGCCAAGUAGAUGUAGUCGUUUUUUGGCAAAAUUGUGUAAUUACAUGUCUUUACUUUUCCUCAAUAUGUUGAGGUUUGGAUGAUUAUAAGUCUCUUUUAUGGUUUUUAUGUUAAUAAUAUUCAUAUUGGUUGCCAAAAUACUUGAAGUUUUCUUUCAGCCAUCAGAUGAAAUCGUCUUGGUCACCAUUUUGUAGUUCCAGCUUUGAAAUGUGUCUUCUGAAUAUCUAUAGAUAUAGUUUACCCUUCAUCUCACCUACUCUUACUAGAGCUUUUUCCCUCAUUUUGUAGUUGAAGCUUUCGAAGUUAUAAACCUACCAGUUAAUUUAACUACAGGAGAACAUCAAUUAAAUAGUACUGGCUCCCUUACAAUCAGCACUUCUUUGUUAUUUCCUCAAGAAGGUUAGCUAAUCAUAUUGUUACCUUCCUUUCCUUCAAUCUGUCUUCUCAAUAUCUACAACUAUAGUUAGCUGCUUCAUCCAAAAUUGAAAUGCAACAUAGUUAUAUUCUUCAUUAUCUUGAAUAACACACAAAAUGAUUUCUCGGGGAAAAACAGAUUAUGAAGUCUUAUUUAGCCUUUUCUUAAAACACAACACAAGUUAAAAUUUUAGGUCAGAGAAAAGGUAGAUAUAAAGACACUGAUAACCAUAAUCUGGUGUAGAAAUCAAAAGGCUAAUACAUGACAGAAUAUUCAUGCCAUAUACCAUAUAUGUGAUAGCAUUUAGCAAUGGAAUAAAAAGAUUCACUUAAAAAGAAUUGAUCUUGCGUGUGAUGGGAGUUAAUGAGAAGGAAAGACUUAGUAGAGGGCUAAAUGACAAAUUCUGAACUUCAUAUCUAACAUCUCGUCAAACUGAACAAAUAAACCUCAUGUAUCAUUGACAACAAAUUAUCAUGUGAUGCAUCACGCAAUUCGAUUUCAAGUACUGAGGUCAUUAGGGAAAAAGUUUGGUUAUCAAUAGUAUUAUAGAGAAUAUUCAAUAAUCUAAUAUAGGCUCUACAGAGAUGAACCAAUGUAUAGUGUUAUAGAGAUUAUUUAAUUCAUUCAAUAAUAUAAUCAUAGUGUCUAAAUUUCUAUAGAGAAGAACUAAGUUGAAUGAUGAUAUUAUUGGAUAUCAUUUGAAGAACUAACUAAUUAAUCUAUAAUUCAUGUAUUGUAUAAUACAAAUACAUUUAUGCUCAAAACGCUCAUUUGAAACAUGAAUUUUCAUCUUCAACUCAGAAGCUUUUAAGAUUGAAUUCUGUGAGUUUUUUCACCUUCUUUUCUGCGUCUCUGUUUUUUUUUCCAUUGUAUUUUUAUUGAUAAUGAAGAUACUCAGUUUUGGAAAUGGAAAUAGGGUGAAUCGGUAAUGAAAUUUGUGUAACAAAAUAUUUAAAUACUUUUUUAGGAUGGAUGGAUUCUUUGAUGAUGAAUUUAGUGUUAAGUUUUUUACAUGCAUGCCAAUAUUAUGUGAGGUUUUCCUUUAAUGUACCGAGAGUGUUUGAUCAAAGUUGUAAGUUGUGAAAAGGAAUAAGAAAAUUUUGCAACUGCAAGUCUUAUUUUUGCCCUUCUUUUUUCUAACUUCAAUAGCUACAUGUUACUGGCCUCACUAACAAUCAUUGUUGUUUAAUUACUCUGUAUACUAAAUUGGAUGGUUUCCUACAUGAUGAACAAGUUCUACAGGGUCCAAAUAUUGUAGCGAUCAUACUCAGAUUGUAUUGUUAAGGUGAGAAUAACUCCCUCGGUUCGACUGAAACUUUCAUGUAUUAUACAAAUUUUAGUUUUAUGAUCAUAUGAUUUGAAAGUCAUCCUUAUUUUCUUGUACUUUGUCUUUUUUGACGUACAUCCUUGCUAAAUAAAUUUGCAUCGUUCCUGAUUUUUUUUUUUGCUUCUUUCUAUUAAAAGUUUGUAGGCUAAUGAUACACAUGUGAUUUGAAAAAAUCAAGAUAAUCCUAAUUUGGCAUCGAGAGGCUUCUCAUUCAUCGAUGAUGUUAAGAGAUUAGUUGAAGUUGAAUGCCCUGGAGUUGUUUCUUGUGCUGAUAUUAUUACUUACUGUGUUGGUUGCUAGAGAUGCACUUGUGGUUACAGUAAAUUAAAAACUCAAUAGAAGAACUUAGUUUUUCUUAAUAAUCAAAUUUGGCAGAUAAUUAAGAUUAAUAAUAGUUUAAGAGAUGUGACUAAAACGCAUCAAGUUUAGGAUGGUCUUUACCCAUUCAACCUUUUAUGUAUCUAUUUAUCUUCGUGUUACUGAUAAUGAUGAUAUCACUGGUGUGAUAGAGAGGUCCAUUUUAGAAUGUGCCAACUAGGAGAAGAGAUGAAACAAUAUCAAAUGUCUCAAAAGUCAAUGUUCACAUUCAAACCCAAAAAAUGUCAAAUCAUUAAUACCUUUACCUACAAUAUAUAGAACUUACGGAUGAUAAUUCUACAUAUAAAAGUGUGUAAGAGGAGAUCAGUAGUAACACAUUCACAUUAAAUUCUAACUUCUCUAUCCUUCAUAUUAAAGAUCUACUAGACCUAAAAGGCCACCUAAUGCCUUCAUGUGAUAGUGACAGGAAGACUCUGUACUACAUAAAAAGAUUACUGAAGCUUACACCCUAUUGUUAGAACUGAAAAAGUUGAUAUGAAGGAAUAAACUUACAUUCUUUAAUAGGAGAAGUCUUUCAAUAUUCCAAUAAAGUAAUAGGUAGAAAUAAUAGGAGUAUUCAACUUUUAAAGUAUAGAAAAGAUAUCACUUUUCUCUGUUAGACUAUGACUAUGAGUACUUGAUCCUUUCUCACCCUAAGAUGGAGUUAAUCGUGUAAUCUUUAGGUGGUAUAUGUAUACAACGUGUGAAAUGCACUGAGCUUCUAACUUUAAAGUUGUUAUCUUUAAUGUCUGAUGCUUUCGGUCAUUAGCCACUGUAUUAUCCUACCGAAACAUUACCGAAAAUUUAGCAGGUAGCUUUAUUAAGUUUUUGGUACUACCAAGAUGAUAAUGUGGUAAAUAAGUGAAUAUGAUCGAUGAGACACUGAUUAUACAAAGAAAACUAUUCAAGGAAGUUAUGAAUAAGUUAAACAAUAAAGUAUUAUCAAAUUUUCACUAAACUAACCUGCCAACAUCUAUAUUUCUUUACUUAAUUUUAAAGUUGAUACAAAUCUUUAGUUUCAUGGUGAUAGAGGUCAUGAAUUGUAACACUACAUCUUUAAUUGCAUUUAUAAUUCAGCUCUAAAGUGAAAAGUUUAAAGGUUCACCAGUGCUACCGGGAGUGUUGCAAUAUAAAGUAGAUUGAAAAGACAAAGGUUCAUUAACCCUAGCACGAAUGCAGUAAUAUAAAGUGUAUUUCCAUCCUGUUGGUGUUCUAUGUUAAUAGAAACUUCUCCAUCGAGUUCACAAGUUUAAUAAAAAGAACUUAAUCGGAUGUGAUAGGUGAUUUACAUGAUUAAUGAUAAUAUUUUUUAAAAGUUAAGUGAUUUACAUAUAAAUGAUGGUUAUAUUUUGAGGGGACUCGCUAAAAGUACAAGUUAAUUCUUUUAUUCAUCUCUUUUGGUAGGUGUUCAAAAGUUGUCGUGUCAAAUCAUAUGAAUGGAUGAAGCUGAGAUAAAAGGGGUUCUUUUGGGUCUCAAUGGCUUUACAUUGGUGAAUUGAUGUAUGGUUCUGAGAAAUGGGUCGACCGGAGAGAUGAAGAUUGGAUAGCUUGCAUGGUUACCGGCGGAGAAGGAAAGAUGUAGUUGGUGGAGUUUCGAUGACAACAAUGUGGAUGCAUGGGAAAGGCUUAAAACUACUGACAAAUGUUCUAUGAAAUCACAAUAUAUAUAUAUAUAUCUCCCUUAUUUAGAAGAGGGAGUAUAAAAUUGUCUGAUUUUCAUCACAUUAACACUUUUAAGUGUAAAAAUUGAAACUUUUGGAACUCAAACAAAGAAAUAGCAAAUCCAGAUGUUAAAAUUCUCUGAUCUUUAUCAUAUUAACAAUUUUAAGUGCAAAAAUUGAAAAUUUGAGAACCAAAGAAGAAAAAAAACGAAACCCAGAUGAGAAAAUUCUCUAGCACAUAUACAGAAUUAAGAGCAGUAAUAGGUAACCUUUAGGUGGUUGUUCAUACGAAGAUGAAGAAGAAAGAGAACCAUGAAUUACAGCUGAAGAACUGAAAGCCAAAGCAAUUUUCUCAAAUCUCAAACAACAAAUCUUCAAUCCCAAAUAUAUAAACACAACUACUUGUCGCCCUACCAAUAUUUGUUGAAGUAUUCAAAUUUCAAGAGCAGAAACAAAACACACAAAAAUAGUCUCAUGGCUACAAGAAUCAAAUCUGAUGCUGCAUGCAAGAACAAAAUAAUAAUUUGAUGAAAUUUAAGCUCAAAAAGAUUGUUACCUCAGUUGUAUUCUACAGCUCUUCUUCUCUGUAAUUUCUGACCACUAUGCGAUAAAACCUCUAAUUUGUAUUAUCUGGACAGCAACAUUGAAGCGAAAUUUGAGGAAAAAAGGAGAUUAAUGGAGAGGAAUUGUGGAGGAGAAA
rnacentral:lncRNA from 1 species